GAAUAUUGCGCAAUGGACGAAAGUCUGACGCAGCAACGCCGCGUGCGUGCAGAAUGCCUUUGGGUUGUAAAGCUCUUUCGGCUGGGGAGAAGGGUUAGGGUGUUAAUAUUAUCCUAAUUUGAUGGUACCAGAAGUAGCAGCACCGUCUAACGUCGUGCCAGCAGCUGCGGUAAUACGAAUGGUGCAAGCGUUGUGCGGAAUUACUGGGCGUAAAGGGUUUGUAGGCUGGAAUAUAAGUCAAGUGUUAAAUCCCCGAGCUAAACUUGGGACGUGCAUUUGAAACUGUGUUUCUUGAGUAUCGUAGAGGGUGGUGGAAUUGUAGGUGUAGGAGUGACAUCCGUAGAGAUCUGCAGGAACAUCAGAGGCGAAGGCGACCACCUGGCCGAUUACUGACGCUGAGUAACGAAAGCGUGGGGAGCAAAC
rnacentral:rRNA from 1 species